rnacentral:rRNA from 1 species
UACGUAGGUGGCAAGCGUUGUCCGGAUUUACUGGGCGUAAAGAGCGCGCAGGCGGUCGUGCAAGUCGCGUGUGAAAGCCCCCGGCUCAACUGGGGAGGGUCACGCGAUACUGCUCGACUUGAAGGCAGGAGAGGGAAGUGGAAUUCCCGGUGUAGUGGUGAAAUGCGUAGAUAUCUGUAGGAACACCCGUGGCGAAGGCGGCUCGCUGGACCGUUACUGACGCUGAGGAACGAAAGCUAGGGGAGCAAACAGG